UACGGGGGGGGCAAGCGUUGUUCGGAAUUACUGGGCGUAAAGGGCGCGUAGGUGGCCUUCUAAGUCGGACGUGAAAUCCCUCGGCUUAACCGAGGAACUGCGUCCGAUACUGAAAGGCUUGAAUCCGGGAGAGGGAUGUGGAAUUCCAGGUGUAGCGGUGAAAUGCGUAGAUAUCUGGAGGAACACCGGUGGCGAAGGCGGCAUCCUGGACCGGCAUUGACGCUGAGGCGCGAAAGCUAGGGGAGCAAACGGG
rnacentral:rRNA from 1 species